rnacentral:rRNA from 1 species
AACGAACGCUGGCGGCAUGCCUAACACAUGCAAGUCGAACGAGACCUUCGGGCCUAGUGGCGCACGGGUGCGUAACGAGUGGGAACCUGCACGUAGGUUAGGAAUAACUCCCCGAAAGGGGUGCUAAUACCGGUUAAUGUCAUCGGACCAAAGAUUUCUCGCCUUUGGAUGGGCCCGCGUUGGAUUAGCUAGUUGGUAGGGUAAAAGCCUACCAAGGCGACGAUCCAUAGCUGGUCUGAGAGGAUGAUCAGCCACACUGGGACUGAGACACGGCCCAGACUCCUACGGGAGGCAGCAGUGGGGUAUAUUGGACAAUGGGCGAAAGCCUGAUCCAGCAAUGCCGCGUGAGUGAUGAAGGCCUUAGGGUUGUAAAGCUCUUUUACCCGGGAUGAUAAUGACAGUACCGGGAGAAUAAGCUCCGGCUAACUCCGUG